UAAGGAAUAUUGGUCAAUGGACGCAAGUCUGAACCAGCCAUGCCGCGUGAAGGAUUAAGGUCCUCUGGAUUGUAAACUUCUUUUAUCUGGGACGAAAAAAGGCGAUUCUUCGUCACUUGACGGUACCAGAUGAAUAAGCACCGGCUAACUCCGUGCCAGCAGCCGCGGUAAUACGGAGGGUGCAAGCGUUAUCCGGAUUCACUGGGUUUAAAGGGUGCGUAGGCGGGCAGGUAAGUCAGUGGUGAAAUCCUAGAGCUUAACUCUAGAACUGCCAUUGAUACUAUCUGUCUUGAAUAUUGUGGAGGUAAAGCGGAAUAUGUCAUGUAGCGGUGAAAUGCUUAGAUAUGACAUAGAACACCUAUUGCGAAGGCAGCUUACUACGCAUAUAUUGACGCUGAGGCACGAAAAGCGUGGGGAUCAAAACAGGAUUAGAUACCCUGGUAGUCCACGCCCUAAAACGAUGAUUACUCGACAUUUGUGAUACACUAUAAGUGUCUGAGCGAAAAGCAUUAAAGUAAAUCCACCUGGGAAGUACGACGCAAAGGUUGAAACUCAAAAGGAAAUUGACGGGGUCAUAGCUGUUUCCUG
rnacentral:rRNA from 1 species